CCCCCCCCCAAUGCUGUUUUCCAGCUAUUUUUAUGAGGAAAUGGCACUGCAAAUGAGAAAUGCCACAGAUAUUAAUUAAGAAGGCAAGGGAUAAGGGGAAAAGAGAAAUAGUUUUAAAACGCCACGAUCCCUUCCUUACCCAGAUUCCAUUUUAGGGUUUAUUCCUAUCCCUACACACUUAGUAAGUUCCAUUCAACUCAGUAGGAUUUGCUUCUGAGCAGAUAUGCCUAGGAUUGCAUUGUAAAUAUCUGAAUAAUUCAGGGCUUAUAUUAAAUGAAACAGUGGGAGAGUCAAGAUAGGAUCUCUUGGUUUGUUUAAAUUUAAAAGCAGCCAUUCUAGGAGUGUGGCCUGAGAUUAGAUCCGGGCCAUGACACUAAAUGGGGAGGCAGCUUUCCUUGUGCAGUUCCCCCAAAUCUAACCUUCACACACACACCCUAAAAGCUUGCUAUUUGUCCUACAGGACCAAAGCAUGCAAGCACUCUGAAUUAGCCCUAAAAAGGAAAGCUCUUUAUUUAAAAACAAAAAUAAAAAAAGCAAAUGAAAUAGCAGAGGUGGAAAUUAGGUGGUUCCCAAAAGGAUUUCCCAUGAAAGAAAAAUCCAAAUCUCCGCUCCCCCGUCGCAUUCGACAAUGUUUUUGUGUAGUUUUACUUUUAAGGGUAUGUAGGAUUUAUUGGGACGCCAAAGCCUGUUUCGAUCUAGAACACCAGAAGAUACUGGCAUUAGCCAAUAUCUGUUUUAUAACUGUUAUAAAACCGUUCCCAGCCAACAACGUUACAAAACGAGUUGGCCAAGACUGAAGAGUCAUUCUGGGCAGAAUGUGGUAUGAUAGUUGAUGAACAGCUAUAAAUAAUGGCAAGCCAUUAGUUAUCAGUCCAACAGUGGCUUUCCACAAUUAAUUAUGUCCGUCCUGCGCCAUUCACAGCACUGUUCUGCCCCCUAGUGGAGAACACUCCAUGAGGCCGCAUUCAAAUUAAGCCAUAAAUUAACACAGGAUGGAUACACUUUUAGCUGAAGCCCUUUUAAAAGGUGGUUGCAUAUACAAUGCAUACCAGUUCCACUUUUGCCCUUAAAAAACAGGAGUUGCACCUUUUUCUUGUAGCGUUUCAAAAACCUGCAAAAGCUGUUUGACCAGAACCAACAGAGGGCAUAAAGAAUUUGAGCUGUCUCAAACCAAAACGAAUUUCUAACUGCAAACCUGAGAAAUUACAUACUGGAAUGCCGCUCUAGACCACAUGUGCUGCCAUGGCCCUGCAAUUGAUUACUCUUACAACUCCUUCUUCCUGCAUUGGAAGCCCAGCAUAGCCUGUUGUGACAGUCAAAGCUCAGCUCAGGAAGAAAUCAUGGCCAGAUCAGCGGUACAGCAGACACCUGUAAGAAAACAACUCAACAAUGACAAAGGAAGAUUGGAGCCAAAAGGUACGUUGCUUGCCGUUUCAUACUGUAUGUUGUUCUGCAUCCCAUUCAGUUUUGACACAGAGCCGUAGUCGGGUAUCCUGGUAAGCUCUCUGGGCUGGCCUGAGAUAUUUUGCUGUCAGAAGUGGAAUACAAAUGGAACCUUCCACCAAUCAGUUGUACACCAGAAGAGGGAGAUGGCCUUAUCGUGAGAGGCUUUCUGUUUUUUCCAUCUUAGCAGAAGUUUAUGCUUCUGCCUGAGGGAAACAUAUUCAUUAAUUAAGAGGGGUAAAUUAGAGUUCCUAUGUUUACUGUAAACUCUCUUCAGCUGGCUUUUAGCUUGCUUGCACUCUUUGUCGAACCACCUGGAAGAUCCCACUGGUCUUCUUGAGCCACUGUUCUUGAUCUCAGUUCUCAAGAGGUCUUAAAACCUGUCAUUCAAGAUCUUAAAUAAAUCCAUAGCCUCAGCAGCAGAGGUAGCUGAGAUAAUAGCAGUAUGAAUAGCCUUUAAGUCAUCUGUAUGAAGAAGGUGGGUCAGUGCUAGAUUGAGUACUGGGGUCCACUUAAUACUAUU